rnacentral:rRNA from 1 species
AUUGAACGCUGGCGGCAGGCCUAACACAUGCAAGUCGAACGAGUGGCGGACGGGUGAGUAAUGUCUGGGGAACUGCCUGAUGGAGGGGGAUAACUACUGGAAAAGGUAGCUAAUACCGCAUACCAUCAGAUGUACCCAGAUGGGAUUAGCUAGUGGGUGGGGAAACGGCUCCCCAAGGCGACGAUCCCUAGCUGGUCUGAGAGGAUGACCAGCCACACUGGGACGGAGACAAGGCCCAGACUCCUACGGGAGGCAGCAGUGGGGAAGAUUGCACAAUGGGCGCAAGCCUGAUGAAGCCAUGCCGCGUGUAUGAAGAAGGCCUGCGGGUUGUAAAGUACUUUCAGCGGGGAGGCGUUACCCGCAGAAGAAGCACCGGCUAACUCCGGGCCAGCAGCCGCGGUAAUAC